AUCCUGCCUCCUCAUGGUGCUAGGGUUAAGCUGCAGUGCCAUAGCACGCUGCUUGAGCAUAACUGGAGCCGCCUGCCCUUCUUGGGUGGCCCUUUUAACCACCAGCUACAGGG
rnacentral:snoRNA from 1 species